rnacentral:rRNA from 1 species
UACACUCCUGCGGGAGGCAGCAGUGGGGAAUAUUGCACAAUGGGCGCAAGCCUGAUGCAGCGACGCCGCGUGGGGGAUGAAGGCCUUCGGGUUGUAAACUCCUUUCGCUAGGGACGAAGCUUUUUUGUGACGGUACCUAGAUAAGAAGCACCGGCUAACUACGUGCCAGCAGCCGCGGUAAUACGUAGGGUGCGAGCGUUGUCCGGAAUUACUGGGCGUAAAGGGCUCGUAGGUGGUUUGUCGCGUCGUCUGUGAAAUUCUGGGGCUUAACUCCGGGCGUGCAGGCGAUACGGGCAUAACUUGAGUGCUGUAGGGGUAACUGGAAUUCCUGGUGUAGCGGUGAAAUGCGCAGAUAUCAGGAGGAACACCGAUGGCGAAGGCAGGUUACUGGGCAGUUACUGACGCUGAGGAGCGAAAGCAUGGGUAGCGAACAGGAUUAGAUACCCUGGUAGUCCCAUG